rnacentral:rRNA from 1 species
UGGGGAAUAUUGCACAAUGGGGGAAACCCUGAUGCAGCGACGCCGCGUGGAGGAAGAAGGUUUUCGGAUUGUAAACUAUUGUCGUUAGGGAAGAUAAAAGACAGUACCUAAGGAGGAAGCUCCGGCUAACUACGUGCCAGCAGCCGCGGUAAUACGUAGGGAGCAAGCGUUAUCCGGAUUUAUUGGGUGUAAAGGGUGCGUAGACGGGAAAUUAAGUUAGUUGUGAAAUCCCUCGGCUCAACUGAGGAACUGCAACUAAAACUGUUUUUCUUGAGUAGUGCAGAGGUAGGCGGAAUUCCCGGUGUAGCGGUGGAAUGCGUAGAUAUCGGGAGGAACACCAGUGGCGAAGGCGGCCUACUGGGCACCAACUGACGCUGAGGCUCGAAAGUGUGGGUAGCAAACAGGAUUAGAUACCCUGGUAGUCCACACUGUAAACGAUGAUUACUAGGUGUUGGAGGAUUGACCCCUUCAGUGCCGCAGUUAACACAAUAAGUAAUCCACCUGGGGAGUACGACCGCAAGGUUGAAACUCAAAGGAAUUGACGGGGGCCCGCACAAGCAGUGGAGUAUGUGGUUUAAUUCGACGCAACGCGAAGAACCUUACCAAGUCUUGACAUCCCUUGACGAUGCUGGAAACAGUAUUUCUCUUCGGAGCAAGGAGACAGGUGGUGCAUGGUUGUCGUCAGCUCGUGUCGUGAGAUGUUGGGUUAAGUCCCGCAACGAGCGCAACCCUUAUGGUCAGUUACUACGCAAGAGGACUCUGGCCAGACUGCCGUUGACAAAACGGAGGAAGGUGGGGAUGACGUCAAAUCAUCAUGCCCCUUAUGACCAGGGCUACACACGUGCUACAAUGGCGUAAACAAAGAGAAGCGAACUCGCGAGGGUAAGCAAAUCUCAAAAAUAACGUCUCAGUUCGGAUUGUAGUCUGCAACUCGACUACAUGAAGCUGGAAUCGCUAGUAAUCGCAGAUCAGAAUGCUGCGGUGAAUACGUUCCC